rnacentral:rRNA from 1 species
AACCAGCACCUCAAGUGGUCAGGAUGAUUAUUGGGCCUAAAGCAUCCGUAGCCGGCUCUAUAAGUUUUCGGUUAAAUCUAUACGCUCAACGUAUGGGCUGCCGAAAAUACUGUAGAGAUAGGGAGUGGGAGAGGUAGACGGUACUCGGUAGGAAGGGGUAAAAUCCUUUGAUCUAUCGAUGACCACCUGUGGCGAAGGCGGUCUACCAGAACACGUUCGACGGUGAGGGAUGAAAGCUGGGGGAGCAAACCGG